rnacentral:tRNA from 1 species
GGGAGUGUAGCUCAGCUGGUAGAGCAGCGGCCUUUUAAGCCGUGGGUCGUGGGUUCGAAUCCCACCGCUCCCACCA